CUAAGGAAGAAUGUUCAGAGAGAUGCAAAGUUUCUGGCUUUGAAGCUGGAGGAGGCAGGGAGUGCAAGUGGCCUCUAGAAGAUGAAAAAGGAUAGAUUCCCAGAAAUGGAAUGAACAUUUUCAGGCACUUACAACAUAAGGCCAGAUUGCUGUCCAAAAUGGUUGUAACGAUGUAUAUUUAAACUGAAUCAGCAUUUGAUACAACUUCAGCAGGGGAUGAGAGCCUGGAAACUACUUUCCUCAGAAUCAUCGUUAGAGUUCAUCAAUGGAGGUAUGAAAUUUGGAAGGCAGAAGAAAUGCAGAAACCACCACUGCACCUGUGACAGAAGUAGGAAGAUCUUUAAUUGAAGAUUCAUUCUACCCUCAGAAAACUAACAGAAGAUAUUGAAAACUGCCAUAUAUAUUGGAAUCUUUAAAGCACAGGAUGAAGCUAUUCUCUGAAGUUUCCUUAUCAACCUAGAAGGUGGAGUUGCCAAAGAGGAACACAAUUGCCUUUAAUCCCCUCCCUGAAGUGUCAUUAACCAGAGAAGAUUAAAAUUCAUAUCACAGAGGAAGAGAUUGAAAAUUAAACAUUACACUUGGAUCCCAGACAAACUUUGUCCUGAACCAUCGUCUGCUAUUGGUCCCAUCUAAUUUCCAAAGAAAAUUAUUUACUAGCCAUUGUCUGAGCAUUGGGCCCAUUCGAUUCCCCCUAAAAAUCACUUAUUAUCCCUCAGAUUGCCACAUUUCCCCCAUCUACCCUUCCCUGUGAAGAAGAGUGUAUAAGCAUCUGUACCUGACCGGGUUAUUGGGUCAUACUUCUGCUAUUUCCCUGGGCCAUGAAGGUUAAAAUAAAUUUAAGGAAGAAACAAAAGAAGAAGUAAGGAAGGAAAGAAGAAAUGAAGAAGAAAAGAAAAAUGAAGGACAGAAGAACUACCAAAACGUGUAACUUGACUUUUUGAUUUGAUGCAUUUUUACUGCAGUGAAUACUUUUGUUUUUCUUCCUUAAAACUGUUAAUUAAAAACCUUCCUCCACAGCUAGAAUCACACAGGAAAUAAAAGUAGGUGUGCAUAUAAACAGAGGACUGGUAACUUGAAUUUUGUAGACAAAAGUCAUCCCCUCAAGCUCUCGUCACUUGUUCAGGGAACUUGAAGGGAAAAGUGAGAUGAACUUCUUCUCACUAUGCUCUCAGUUUGAUUUUCUAUGCUUUCAGUUUGAUUUUCCUGUUUCCCAUCUUCCUGCCUUCAGGGCAAGUGUAGAAAGAUGGUUGGGACCAUGACAAUGCCAAACAGCAAGAGUCUGAGUUUAACAAGAUUUGAAAAUUUGAAUUUAUGACAGGUGACAUCAGCUUAUAAAAUCGUUGUUUCUUAUUUUCAAAUUACACUCAUUGAGAAAGAUAUUGGCAUCACAAGACAUUGAAAAAAGUAUAUUUGAUUCAUUUAAAAUAUGAAAAAAAUGCAAUCCAGGCAUUUUUGUAAACAUUCCUUUUACAUUUGGUAAAACGUUUUGAGCCCAUGUCCCAAGAUGAAAAAACUGGAAGCCAUUUACUUUUUCAUCUUAGAUGAGUAAUAAAAUAUGGCAGUUAAGUAAGAUGCUGAUAUUUAUUUUAAUUCUGGUCUAAUAUCGUUGGGUACAAGACAAAGAUGGUAAAAAUUGACAGAAGGAUUAUAUAUCUUACCACCCUCUCCCAGCUAUUUCAAGUAAAGUUUGAUGUUCCCAAAGCCCUUAUCAUUUUUCCUCACUUCCUAAGAAAAGGCAGAAUCCCUCUUUCAGCAGGUCAACAUUCUGAGGUUUCACAAGACCUCUGCUUUUAACAUGUUUGUUUUUAUAUUUUGGGAAAAAAUGCUACACAAAAUAAAAUAUUGAAC
rnacentral:lncRNA from 10 species